CCUAGCUGAAAGAUUCACAAUUGGCAGUGAAAUUGUUCAAGCUGUGCAAACAAAAGGUGCUGUUAUGACAUGCUUCUUGUGUGCUAAAGAACCAACUAACAUGAGAGCAUGUUCAUGCUGUAAAAGGAAUUUCCACAAAAAGUGUAUGACUCCAGGACUAUGCAGUUUGUGCUCAAUUUUUC